CUGGGGAGAGACCAUGGUUCAGUGGUAAAACCUCUGCUUGGCAUGCAGGAGGUCCCAGGUUUGACUUUCAGGAUCUUCAGU
rnacentral:tRNA from 1 species